rnacentral:rRNA from 1 species
GAUGAACGCUGGCGGCGUGCCUAAUACAUGCAAGUCGAGCGAACGGACGAGAAGCUUGCUUCUCUGAUGUUAGCGGCGGACGGGUGAGUAACACGUGGAUAACCUACCUAUAAGACUGGGAUAACUUCGGGAAACCGGAGCUAAUACCGGAUAAUAUUUUGAACCGCAUGGUUCAAAAGUGAAAGACGGUCUUGCUGUCACUUAUAGAUGGAUCCGCGCUGCAUUAGCUAGUUGGUAAGGUAACGGCUUACCAAGGCAACGAUGCAUAGCCGACCUGAAAGGGUGAUCGGCCACACUGGAACUGAGACACGGUCCAGACUCCUACGGGAGGCAGCAGUAGGGAAUCUUCCGCAAUGGGCGAAAGCCUGACGGAGCAACGCCGCGUGAGCGAUGAAGGUCUUCGGAUCGUAAAACUCUGUUAUUAGGGAAGAACAUAUGUGUAAGUAACUGUGCACAUCUUGACGGUACCUAAUCAGAAAGCCACGGCUAACUACGUG